rnacentral:tRNA from 3 species
GCGGGUGUAGCUUAAUGGUAAAGCCUUGGUCUUCCAAACCAAUGACGCGAGUUCGAUUCUCGUCACCCGCUCCA